ACCAGGAUGGCCGAGUGGUUAAGGCGUUGGACUUAAGAUCCAAUGGAUGUAUGUCUGCGUGGGUUCGAACCCCACUCCUGGUA